GAUUAACGCUGGCGGCGUGCAUAACACAUGCAAGUCGAACGAUGACACUUAGUAGACUUCUUCGGAAAGACACUAAGCGGAUUAGUGGCGAACGGGUGAGUAACGCGUGAGUAACCUGCCUUACACAAGGGGAUAGCCUUUCGAUACGAAGAAUAAUACCCUAUAAAACCAUAAAAGCACAUGCUAGAAUGGUCAAAGUGAUAGCGGUGUAAGAUGGACUUGCGUCUGAUUAGCUAGUUGGUGAGAUAAAAGCUCACAAAGGCAACGAUCAGUAGCCGGCUUGAGAGAGUGGACGGCCACAUUGGGACUGAGACACGGCGCAGACUCCUGCGGAAGGCAGCAGUGGGGAAUUUGGCACAAUGGGGGAAACACUGAUGCAGCGACGCCGCGUGAUUUAGAAGGCCUUCGGGUUGUAAAAAUCUUUUGUAUAGGAAGAAUAUGACAGUACUAUACGAAUAAGGUCCGGCUAAUUACGUG
rnacentral:rRNA from 1 species